rnacentral:rRNA from 1 species
UGGGGAAUAUUGGACAAUGGGCGAAAGCCUGAUCCAGCCAUGCCGCGUGUGUGAAGAAGGUCUUCGGAUUGUAACGCACUUUAAGUUGGGAGGAAGGGCAUUAACCUAAUACGUUAGUGUUUUGACGUUACCGACAGAAUAAGCACCGGCUAACUCUGUGCCAGCAGCCGCGGUAAUACAGAGGGUGCAAGCGUUAAUCGGAAUUACUGGGCGUAAAGCGCGCGUAGGUGGUUUGUUAAGUUGGAUGUGAAAUCCCCGGGCUCAACCUGGGAACUGCAUUCAAAACUGACUGACUAGAGUAUGGUAGAGGGUGGUGGAAUUUCCUGUGUAGCGGUGAAAU